AUGCUUGCUUUGGCAGCAUAUAUAUUACAACAGGAAUGAUACAGAGAUUAGCAUGGCUCCUGUGCAAAUUCAUGAAGUGUUCCAUAUAUAU
ensembl:snRNA U6 U6 spliceosomal RNA